UGUUUUACUUGUGCUCUUCUUGCCUAAACAUCGCUUUUGGUUUUUUCUUUUGAUGCCCAAACAGAUGCGUAUUACGAUUCGUCGUCUUAUUGCAGUUAUCUGCAUUUCUUUGUCCUUUUCUACGUGCUAGAGCCAGCCAACAGAACCAGGUGUUUGCUUUGAUAUCGCGGACUGUGACUAUAAGAAGGGCAAUCCUGCCGCCGAUUCUUUGAUACUAUAUGCCGAGUGCUGUGAUAACGUCAAGGGGAAGUCGUUGGCACUGAGUAAUGGUUCAUGCGCGGACUGUUAUAAACGGGGAGCAGUUACAACUCCAGCUCCUGCGACAAAUGAUACUCAUUAUAUCAAAGAGUGGACUCCUUGGCGUCGCUGUUCUCAAGAAUGUGGUCCCGGGACCAGAAGCAGACAAAAAAUAUGUGGUCGCGCAGGCAACCUUAAAGUUUGUGAAGUGCAAGAUGAAGACUGCAAUCUGGGAAGCUCUCCAGGUACAACUGUUCACAAAACAUAUGGACUUUAGCUAGUUAUUUAAACUGCUCACGUCUCCCGUGAUUGGAUCGUGCGUGCUUACCUAUUUAAAGUUAAUAUUAAUAGCAGCAACAUAUUCAAAAAGGGCGUUUCUAAGUCUCUUGCUAGGCACAUUAAUCUAAACAAAUUUUGAAGUUCAGUUCAUAAAACAUGUACACAGGUACCACGCACCCCACACACAACAAACCCACAACACACAAAUACACACACACACACACGCACACACACACACACACGCACACACACACACACGCAGA